UACGUAGGGUGCAAGCGUUGUCCGGAAUUAUUGGGCGUAAAGAGCUCGUAGGUGGCCUGUCGCGUCGGCUGUGAAAACUCGGGGCUCAACUCCGAGCUUGCAGUCGAUACGGGCAGGCUAGAGUUCGGCAGGGGGAGACUGGAAUUCCUGGUGUAGCGGUGGAAUGCGCAGAUAUCAGGAGGAACACCGGUGGCGAAGGCGGGUCUCUGGGCAGUAACUGACGCUGAGGAGCGAAAGCGUGGGGAGCGAACAGG
rnacentral:rRNA from 1 species